GCUGGCCUUUGCAAAACAGUCAGAAAUGCAACAUAUGCUGCAGAUAAAGCCUUGACAUUGAGAAUAAAACAGAAAAACGUUUUAUCUGUCAGGGUCAGUCUGAAAACAGCUUGCGUGCUCUCUCUUGGACGUGUGUAAAGGUGUCUGUUUAGAUUCCCUGACAGAUAGCGCUGCAGGUCUCACUGAUAGCAGAACUCUGCUUUGCAAGGCUUGACCCUAGGGGCUCACCUGGCCGACGUGUUUUCAGUCCAGAGGAAUGUGAGAUAAUUCCUGCCGUUUACACAGGGUCAGCAUGGAUAGGAGGGGUGAAGAGUGAGACUAACAGGCCCGUAGGUGUCCAGUACCAGAAGAGAGGACAGGCAGGACCUCUGAGCUGGGGGUCAGCCAGGUGCAGACUAGCUACUCACACAGAGAAGGCCUGUGUCAACAGCUUCACAAAUCUCCAAAACAAAACAAAAGCUUGAAUCUCAAAGCUGGCCCUCUUCUGUCUGCAUGGUCACGUUUCUUUGAAUAAAACAGGGGAUACAAGCGGUCACACA